AACGAACGCUGGCGGCAUGCCUAACACAUGCAAGUCGAACGAGACCUUCGGGUCUGGUGGCGCACGGGUGCGUAACGCGUGGGAACCUGCCCUUAGGUUCGGAAUAACUCCCCGAAAGGGGUGCUAAUACCGGAUAAUUUCUUCGGACCAAAGAUUUAUCGCCUUGGGGUGAGCCCGAGUUGGUUUAGCUAGUUGGUAGGGUAAAAGCCGACCAAGGCGACGAUCCAUAGCUGGGCUGAGAGGAUGAUCAGCCACACUGGGAAUGAGACACGGCCCAGAAUCCUACGGGAGGCAGGAGUGGGGAAUAUUGGAAAAUGGGCGAAAGGCUGAUCCAGCAAUGCCGCGUGAGUGAUGAAGGCCUUAGGGUUGUAAAGCUCUUUUACCCGGGAUGAUAAUGACAGUACCGGGAGAAUAAGCUCCGGCUAACUCCGUG
rnacentral:rRNA from 1 species